rfam:Mus musculus chromosome 4, GRC primary reference assembly.
AGCUGUGAGGUCAUUUUGGCUACUACAGCUCUCACCCCACUAAUUUCUGUGGUAGAUUAGACAGGUCUGAGGUAAGUACAAUAACUCCUUCCCUACUCCCUAUCCUAUGUGUGCUCCUUCCGAAGCUGCAUGCUUGGUCGAAGAAGAGGACCUUCUCCAAUAGUGGAAGUCUGUUUUGGGGCAAGGGUUUGUGUGUAGCUGUGUUCCUCUGUUAGAUGACCCAGUAGACAGUCAAGGAUGAGCUGUUUGACAGGUACAGAGGGAUGCAAGACUUGGCCUCUCCUAAGCUGAACCCACAAUCUU